rnacentral:misc_RNA from 1 species
GUAGGAGCCGGCUUGCUGGCGAUGGCGGUGGGUCAGUCAGCCGAUUUGUUGACUGGACCACCGCCAUCGCCAGCAAGCCGGCUCCUAC